rnacentral:rRNA from 1 species
GAUUAACGCUGGCGGCAUGCCUAAUACAUGCAAGUCGAACGGAAGCAGCAAUGCUUUAGUGGCGAACGGGUGAGUAACACGUAGGGAACCUACCUAUACGACGAGGAUAACUACUGGAAACGGUAGCUAAAACUGGAUAGGAUCAAUUGAGGCAUCCUGAUUGAUUUAAAGAUCCUUCGGGAUUACGUAGAGAUGGCCCUGCGGCGCAUUAGCUAGUUGGUGAGGUAACGGCCCACCAAGGCGACGAUGCGUAGCUGAGCUGAGAGGCUAAACAGCCACACUGGGACUGAGACACGGCCCAGACUCCUACGGGAGGCAGCAGUAGGGAAUUUUCGGCAAUGGGGGAAACCCUGACCGAGCAAUGCCGCGUGAACGAUGAAGGUCUUCGGAUUGUAAAGUUCUGUGAUUGGGGAAGAAUGGUAUUCUUAGGGAAUGAGGAGUACAUGACGGUACCCGAUUAGAAAGCCCCGGCUAACUACGUGCCAGCAGCCGCGGU